rnacentral:rRNA from 1 species
UACGUAGGGUGCAAGCGUUGUCCGGAAUUAUUGGGCGUAAAGAGCUCGUAGGCGGUCUGUCGCGUCUGCUGUGAAAACUCAGGGCUUAACCCUGAGCUUGCAGUGGGUACGGGCAGACUAGAGUGCGGUAGGGGAGACUGGAAUUCCUGGUGUAGCGGUGAAAUGCGCAGAUAUCAGGAGGAACACCGAUGGCGAAGGCAGGUCUCUGGGCCAUAACUGACGCUGAGAAGCGAAAGCAUGGGGAGCGAACAGG